GUGAAAUGCGUAGAUAUCUGGAGGAACACCAAAGGCGAAGGCAAUGUCCUGGCUGUUACCUGACGCUGAGGGGCGAAAGCUAGGGGAGCGAACGGGAUUAGAUACCCCGGUAGUCCUAGCUGUAAACGAUGACCACUAGACGUUCGGGGUAUCGACCCCCUGAGUGUCGUAGCUAACGCGAUAAGUGGUCCGCCUGGGGAGUACGGUCGCAAGAUUAAAACUCAAAGGAAUUGACGGGGACCCGCACAAGCAGCGGAGCGUGUGGUUUAAUUCGAUGCAACGCGAAGAACCUUACCAGGAUUUGACGUGGGCAGGACCAUCUUGGAGACAAGACUCCCUUCGGGGCCUGUUCACAGGUGCUGCAUGGCUAUCGUCAGCUCGUGCCGCGAGGUGUUGGGUUAAGUCCCGCAACGAGCGCAACCCUCAUCGGUAGUUGUAGAUAUCUACCGAGACUGCCGCGAUCAACGUGGAGGAAGGUGGGGAUGACGUCAAGUCAGCACGGCCCUUACAUCCUGGGCGACACACACGCUACAAUGGCGAGGACAAUGAGUCGCGAACCCGCGAGGGGGAGCCAAUCUUAGCAAACCUCGUCUCAGUUCGAAUUGGAGGCUGCAACCCGCCUCCAUGAAGUGGGAGUUGCUAGUAACCGUGGGUCAGCACAUCACGGUGAAUACGUUCCCGGGUCUUGUACACACCGCCCGUCACACCACGAAAGUCGGCAACCCCUGAAGCCGCUGGGCUAACCCGCAAGGGAGGCAAGCGUCGAGGGUGGGGUCGGUGAUUGGGGUGAAGUCGUAACAAGGUAACCGU
rnacentral:rRNA from 1 species